AUUGAACGCUGGCGGCAGGCCUAACACAUGCAAGUCGAACGAGUGGCGGACGGGUGAGUAAUGUCUGGGAAACUGCCUGAUGGAGGGGGAUAACUUCUGGAAAGCGUACCUAAUACCGCAUACCAUCGGAUUAGCCCAGAUGGGAUUAGCUAGUAGGUGGGGUAACAGCUCACCUAGGCGACGAUCCCUAGCUGGUCUGAGAGGAUGAUCAGCCAAACUGGAACUGAGACACGGUCCGGACUCCUACGGGAGGCAGCGUUGGGGAAUAUUGCACAGUGGGCGCAAGCCUGAUGCAGUCGUGCAGCAUGAAUGAAGAAGGCCUUCGAGUUGUGAGGUACUAUCAGCGGGGAGGCGUUACCCGCAGAAGAAGCACCGGCAAACUACGUGCCAGCAGCCGCGGUAAUUC
rnacentral:rRNA from 1 species